rnacentral:rRNA from 1 species
UACGUAGGGUGCGAGCGUUGUCCGGAAUUAUUGGGCGUAAAGGGCUCGUAGGCGGUUUGUCGCGUCGGGAGUGAAAUCCACUGGCUUAACUGGUGGCUUGCUUUCGAUACGGGCAGACUGGAGGUAUGCAGGGGGAGAACGGAAUUCCUGGUGUAGCGGUGAAAUGCGCAGAUAUCAGGAGGAACACCGGUGGCGAAGGCGGUUCUCUGGGCAUUAACUGACGCUGAGGAGCGAAAGCAUGGGGAGCGAACAGG